rnacentral:lncRNA from 1 species
UACCCUUAUGUCACCACCAAUGUUCUGAAGUCCACCUUUGGCUCUUCCCCACAGCAAUCUUGUCCUCCAGACCCAACCUGCAUUGCCUCUGCCAAUCACAGGGAUGCCAAAUAUGGUAUACACUGCCAUCUGCCCUGGGGGCUGAGAAAAGCCUCGUGGUGACAGGGGAGAUCUCUGCUGUCCCUCCCUUACUAAUGUCAGGGGACUUCAGACCUCCACAGAGGGUGUGUCCUUUACCUCACUUGUCACAUGGCAGCUGGGACUUGCGUAACUCCUAAACUCCUUCUGCUUCAGCAUUUGAUGACCCCCCAAACUGCACUGACCUCCAGCCCAAACUGAAGGGAUCCCUGGUGCCUGUUGACUUUUACUGAGAUGAAAUGAAUCAUUCCUUCUUAAUAGUGCCCUUUGAUGCAUAAAAGUUUCACAUUUUGGGCCGGGCAUGGUGGCUCAUGCCUGUAAUCCCGGCACUUUGGGAGGCCAAGGCGGGCGGAUCACGAAGUCAGGAGAUCGAAACCAG